UGCCCAGAGGCCCCAGUCAGGCUCUGGUCCCAAUUAUGCUAAAAUGUGGAAGUACAUAAUUUUUCUCUCCGGCUAGCCAGACAGCAGAGCAGAGUCCUCUAAACAAGGGAAAGAACAGAAUAUUGGAAUGCAAAGGUUCUGCAGCAGCUGGGCCUGGAGAACUUGGAAAGUGUGACCCUGGAUGCAGUCAAUGGGAGUGGAAGACAGAACUGUGCAGAGGGAACCGGAAGGCAGGGAACGACUAUUGGGAGGCAGAGUCUGAAGCAAGUCAAGAAGGCAGCAGAGUGAGAACCACCACUGAAGAAAGAUGAAGAGGAAGCACAGUGCAUGCGAAGAAAAUGCUCAGAGCUCUGAAAACGAGCUGACGAAAGAAAAAGGGAUGGCACCGAAGAAGAAACCAACAGAAUCAGGGAGCAAGUGAGAGCAGAGAAAGUGGGAGAGGAAGAAAAACAGAUGGAGAAACCCCACAUGAGAAGGAAACAGCAACCGGUGUCUCCAGGUGUGAGCCUGUAUCAUGGAAAAGUGAUGAUAUUAAUUAACAAUCUCGGUCACAAGGACCAGACAGCCAUUUGAGAUGAGAGAUGUUUGCAUUGGCCUUUCUGCAAUGCAUCUAGCUGGACAAAAACUGCAGAGGAAUGAUGGAGAAACACUUGCAAAGAAUCACAACAAGGAGACAGGAUCAGGUAGGCAGAGGACAAACUUUGCACUGCAGCCAUCUUCCUUGGAUAGAGAGUGAGGAUUGAACAUCGGGAGUCCUUGCAGAGCCCCCAGAGGCCACCGCGCUAUUGUUCAGGGGGAGUCACUAUAGAGCAAU